UACCCUACGGGGGGCUGCAGUGGGGAAUAUUGGACAAUGGGGGAAACCCUGAUCCAGCAAUGCCGCGUGAGUGAUGAAGGCCUUCGGGUUGUAAAGCUCUUUUGUCAGGGAAGAUGAUGACGGUACCUGACGAAUAAGCUCCGGCUAACUUCGUGCCAGCAGCCGCGGUAAUACGAAGGGAGCUAGCGUUGUUCGGAAUUACUGGGCGUAAAGGGCGCGUAGGCGGCCUUGUAAGUUAGAUGUGAAAGCCCCGGGCUUAACCUGGGAACUGCAUUUAAGACUGCAAAGCUUGAGGACGAGAGAGGAAAGUGGAAUUGUGAGUGUAGAGGUGAAAUUCGUAGAUAUUCACAAGAACACCAGUGGCGAAGGCGACUUUCUGGCUCGUAUCUGACGCUAAGGCGCGAAAGCGUGGGGAGCAAACAGGAUUAGAUACCCUGGUAGUCA
rnacentral:rRNA from 1 species